UACAGAGGUCUCAAGCGUUGUUCGGAUUCAUUGGGCGUAAAGGGUGCGUAGGCGGCGCGGUAAGUCGGGUGUGAAAUCUCGGGGCUUAACUCCGAAACUGCAUUCGAUACUGCCGUGCUUGAGGACUGGAGAGGAGACUGGAAUUUACGGUGUAGCGGUGAAAUGCGUAGAUAUCGUAAGGAAGACCAGUGGCGAAGGCGGGUCUUUGGUCUGUAACUGACGCUGAGGCGCGAAAGCGUGGGGAGCAAACAGG
rnacentral:rRNA from 1 species